UAUGUGUACUUUAGGUUAUUACCUGCUUCUACAACUGCGUCUGCGACUCUGCUGCUGCAUCACCUUUGCCCGACAUCCAAGAUCGUAGCGAUGCAAUUGUUUAAAUCUUAAAUUAGGCCCCUUGGGAUACACCUUAGUUAUUGGACUCUAAAGGUAACAUACUGUGGCUCUCCCAACAAGGAACGUUGGAAGGUCGCAGAUUGAUCCGGUGUCUUCGCAGGCACCAUGGCUAGAAGAGUGGAGGACCAUCUCCAAUGUCCGUCCUGUUUGAACAUCUUCAAGUAUUCUGUGGUACCGUCGUGUAGUCACAGCUUCUGUCACUCGUGUCUACAGCAGUGUUGGGAGCAGGAAGGACAUCGAUCGUGUCCAGUCUGGAGGACAGAAUUUAGUUCAAUGGAUCCACCUUUGAGACCCUUAUUUGAAAGAUGACAUGAUUUUCUCAAGAGGCGAGCGCCAGUCGCUCGCAGAUUUGUGCGUGCAAGAAAGGCACCAGCGAGAGAAAAAGGAUGCUGACACUCAAACCACCGUCCACGAGUCCACUUUUGAGAAAUUCAAAUUUGCCCACUCAGUGCCGCUCGCUCACAGCUUCCUCUCCACCUUUUGUGUCGCUACAGCAGGAAUCCGCCAGGGGGCACUCUGGCCUCACAGAAGCUCCUGAAGAGGGCCAAGCAAAGCCUGGAGGGAGGUAACCCCUUUGGAGAAAGAAGAAAUCCAACUCUUCAGACAUUUUGAGUUCGCAGAUGACUCUUCAGGAGAUAAUGCGCAAAAUCUGUAAAAUUACCGCAGUAAAAUAACAAUUCUUGGACUAAAAGGUGAAAUUGUAUCUUU